AGAGAUGAACCUUUAAUGAAUUUUUUUAAUUACCAAAAUACUAUCAUUCAUUUUAAAAAAUGACACCACCUCCACUUCCACAUCCAACUCCACCACUUGCACCACCACAUUCACUACCUCCACAACCACUGUCACUGCCACCACAUCCUCCUCCUCCUCAUCCUCCGCACCAUCACCAUCACCACCACCACCACCACCUCCAAAAUCUCCACAUCCACCACCACCUCCACAACCAACACCACCACCACCUCCACAACCAACAUCACCACCACCAUCAUGCGGCCACUGCCACCACCACCACCACUACCUCCUCCACAACAGCCAUCCCCACCACCACUACUACCACAACCACCAACUCCACCUUCAUCACCAACACCACCUCCACUCCAUCACCACCACCACCUCUUCCACAACAUCCAUCCCCACCACCACCACUACCACAACAACCAACUCCACCUUCACUCCAUCACCACCACUACCACCACAUGAUUAGUACAUAACACUUUCAACAUCAUGUCUAUUUUAGUCAUUAUUCACAGUUACAACAAUUUUAUAUUAAAAUUUACCAAAUAGUUUUCGCACUGCUUUUUGCACUAACAGCACUUUAAAAAUAUUGUUUACCAAACAUGGAGCUGC
rnacentral:lncRNA from 1 species